GUCCAGGGAUGGGAAUCGAACCCACAAUGUUCCGCUUACCGGGCAGAUGAUAUGUCCACUAGGCUACCCUGGA
rnacentral:tRNA from 1 species